CAAUAGCGUAUAUUUAAGUUGUUGCAGUUAAAAAGCUCGUAGUUGGAUUUCGGGUGGGACGCAGCGGUCUCGCAUUGCGUUUGUAUUGCUGCAGCCCUCCUUCUUGCCGGGGGCGGCCUCUCGGACUUCACUGUCUGGGGGUCAGAAUCGGCGAUGUUACUUUGAGUAAAUUAGAGUGUUCAAAGCAAGCUUACGCUCUGAAUAUAAUAGCAUGGGAUAACACGACAGGACUCUGGCCUAUCGUGUUGGUCUAUAGGACCAGAGUAAUGAUUAAGAGGGACAGUCGGGGGCAUUCGUAUUCCGUUGUCAGAGGUGAAAUUCUUGGAUUUACGGAAGACGAACAUCUGCGAAAGCAUUUGCCAAGGAUGUUUUCAUUGA
rnacentral:rRNA from 1 species